rnacentral:misc_RNA from 1 species
CAACCUUCAAGCUCUGCUUGGUAUUGGGCACCGCCAGCAUCGGCGGGCCUUAAAAUCAGUGGCGGCGUCGCUAGGUCCUGAGCGUAGUAAUACUCCUCGCUACUGGAUGUUAGUAGAUGUCUGCCAUCAACCCCAACUCUUAAU